AGGGACGACGGCCUUCGGGUUGUAAACCUCUUUUAGCAAGGAAGAAGCGAAAGUGACGGUACUUGCAGAAAAAGCGCCGGCUAACUACGUGCCAGCAGCCGCGGUAAUACGUAGGGCGCAAGCGUUAUCCGGAAUUAUUGGGCGUAAAGAGCUCGUAGGCGGUUUGUCGCGUCUGCUGUGAAAUCCCGAGGCUCAACCUCGGGCCUGCAGUGGGUACGGGCAGACUAGAGUGCGGUAGGGGAGAUUGGAAUUCCUGGUGUAGCGGUGGAAUGCGCAGAUAUCAGGAGGAACACCGAUGGCGAAGGCAGAUCUCUGGGCCGUAACUGACGCUGAGGAGCGAAAGGGUGGGGAGCAAACAGGAUUAGAUACCCUGGUAGUCCAAGGGCGAAUUC
rnacentral:rRNA from 1 species